rnacentral:rRNA from 1 species
UUAAAGGAAGUUGACGGGCCCCGCACAAGCAGCGGAGCGUGUGGUUUAAUUCGAUGCUACACGAAGAACCUUACCAGGGUUUGACAUACAAGUAGUAGGGAAAGGAAACUGGACCGACCCUUCGGGGAGCUUGUACAGGUGCUGCAUGGCUGUCGUCAGCUCGUGCCGUGAGGUGUCCGGUUAAGUCCGGUAACGAGCGCAACCCUCGCCAUAUGUUACAAGUGUCAUAUGGGACUGCCGAUAUAAAGUCGGAGGAAGGUGGGGAUGACGUCAAGUCAGCAUGGCCUUUAUGUCCGGGGCUACACACACGCUACAAUGGCCGGUACAAUAGGUAGCAAGACCGCGAGGUGGAGCCAAUCCUUAAAGCCGGUCUCAGUUCAGAUUGCAGGCUGCAACUCGCCUGCAUGAAGUCGGAGUUGCUAGUAACCGCGCGUCAGCAAUAGUGCGGUGAAUACGUUCCCGGGCCUU